rnacentral:rRNA from 1 species
UACAGGUGGGGCAAGCGAUACCUCGCGUCGACAGUUGUAAAAGGUAUGUAGGCGUACUAAAAAAUAUCAGAUUAGGUAAAUUUUUAAUAAAAAUAAAGAUAGAUAUUUAUAAUUAGUAAGUAAUUUGACCCAGAUUGAAAGAAUUUCGAGGCUAACGUUAAAAUGUGGUAACCCUUGAAGGAAUGCCAGCUGUGUAAACGUUUUUUUUUAUAAAAUUUUCGCUAAAAUACGAAAACAUGGGUAGCGAACCGG